GAAUUCGAUUCGGUGUGACAAGGCCCGGGAACGUAUUCACCGCUACCUGCUGAUUAGCGAUUACUAGCGAUUCCGACUUCAUGCACCCGAGUUGCAGAGUGCAAUCCGAACUGAGACGGCUUUUAAGGAUUAGCAUCCCCUCGCGGGGUCGCUGCCCUCUGUCACCGCCAUUGUAGCACGUGUGUAGCCCUACCCGUAAGGGCCAUGAGGACUUGACGUCAUCCCCACCUUCCUCCGGCUUAUCACCGGCAGUCCCUUUAGAGUGCCCAACUGAAUGAUGGCAACUAAAGGCGAGGGUUGCGCUCGUUGCGGGACUUAACCCAACAUCUCACGACACGAGCUGACGACAGCCAUGCAGCACCUGUCUCAUGGUUCCUUACGGCACCCCUGCAUCUCUGCUGGGUUCCAUGGAUGUCAAGACCAGGUAAGGUUCUUCGCGUUAAUCACUA
rnacentral:rRNA from 1 species